rnacentral:rRNA from 1 species
UCUGCCAGUAGUCAUAUGCUUGUCUUAAAGAUUAAGCCAUGCAUGUCUAAGUAUAAGCAAUUAUACAGCGAAACUGCGAAUGGCUCAUUAAAUCAGUUAUCGUUUAUUUGAUAGUACCUUACUACAUGGAUAACCGUGGUAAUUCUAGAGCUAAUACAUGCUGAAAACCCCGACUUCGGAAGGGGUGUAUUUAUUAGAUUAAAAACCAAUGCCCUUCGGGGCUCACUGGUGAUUCAUGAUAACUUCUCGAAUCGCACGGCCUUGCGCCGGCGAUGGUUCAUUCAAAUUUCUGCCCUAUCAACUUUCGACGGCUGGGUCUUGGCCAGCCGUGGUGACAACGGGUAACGGAGGGUUAGGGCUCGACCCCGGAGAAAACGCCUGAGAAACGGCGUUUACAUCCAAGGAAGGCAGCAGGCGCGCAAAUUACCCAAUGCCGACACGGCGAGGUAGUGACGAGAAAUACUGAUACAGGGCUCUUUUGGGUCUUGUAAUUGGAAUGAGUACAAUUUAAAUCUCUUAACGAGGAACAAUUGGAGGGCAAGUCUGGUGCCAGCAGCCGCGGUAAUUCCAGCUCCAAUAGCGUAUAU